AUGAACGCUAGCUACAGGCUUAACACAUGCAAGUCGAGGGGCAUCAGGAAGAAAGCUUGCUUUCUUUGCUGGCGACCGGCGCACGGGUGAGUAACACGUAUCCAACCUGCCCUUUACUCGGGGAUAGCCUUUCGAAAGAAAGAUUAAUACCCGAUAGCAUAAUGAUUCCGCAUGGUUUCAUUAUUAAAGGAUUCCGGUAGAGGAUGGGGAUGCGUUCCAUUAGGUUGUUGGUGAGGUAACGGCCCACCAAGCCUUCGAUGGAUAGGGGUUCUGAGAGGAAGGUCCCCCACAUUGGAACUGAGACACGGUCCAAACUCCUACGGGAGGCAGCAGUGAGGAAUAUUGGUCAAUGGGCGCUAGCCUGAACCAGCCAAGUAGCGUGAAGGAUGAAGGCUCUAUGGGUCGUAAACUUCUUUUAUAUAAGAAUAAAGUGCAGUAUGUAUACUGUUUUGUAUGUAUUAUAUGAAUAAGGAUCGGCUAACUCCGUGCCAGCAGCCGCGGUAAUACGGAGGAUCCGAGCGUUAUCCGGAUUUAUUGGGUUUAAAGGGAGCGUAGGUGGACUGGUAAGUCAGUUGUGAAAGUUUGCGGCUCAACCGUAAAAUUGCAGUUGAUACUGUCAGUCUUGAGUACAGUAGAGGUGGGCGGAAUUCGUGGUGUAGCGGUGAAAUGCUUAGAUAUCACGAAGAACUCCGAUUGCGAAGGCAGCUCACUGGACUGCAACUGACACUGAUGCUCGAAAGUGUGGGUAUCAAACAGGAUUAGAUACCCUGGUAGUCCACACAGUAAACGAUGAAUACUCGCUGUUUGCGAUAUACAGUAAGCGGCCAAGCGAAAGCAUUAAGUAUUCCACCUGGGGAGUACGCCGGCAACGGUGAAACUCAAAGGAAUUGACGGGGGCCCGCACAAGCGGAGGAACAUGUGGUUUAAUUCGAUGAUACGCGAGGAACCUUACCCGGGCUUAAAUUGCAGUGGAAUGAUGUGGAAACAUGUCAGUGAGCAAUCACCGCUGUGAAGGUGCUGCAUGGUUGUCGUCAGCUCGUGCCGUGAGGUGUCGGCUUAAGUGCCAUAACGAGCGCAACCCUUAUCUUUAGUUACUAACAGGUUAUGCUGAGGACUCUAGAGAGACUGCCGUCGUAAGAUGUGAGGAAGGUGGGGAUGACGUCAAAUCAGCACGGCCCUUACGUCCGGGGCUACACACGUGUUACAAUGGGGGGUACAGAAGGCAGCUAGCGGGUGACCGUAUGCUAAUCCCAAAAUCCUCUCUCAGUUCGGAUCGAAGUCUGCAACCCGACUUCGUGAAGCUGGAUUCGCUAGUAAUCGCGCAUCAGCCACGGCGCGGUGAAUACGUUCCCGGGCCUUGUACACACCGCCCGUCAAGCCAUGGGAGCCGGGGGUACCUGAAGUACGUAACCGCAAGGAUCGUCCUAGGGUAAAACUGGUGACUGGGGCU
rnacentral:rRNA from 1 species